UUUACCAAAAACAUGGCUUCGUGUUAGCUUUUAAAUACGAAGUCGGACCUGCCCAGUGAGUUUUAAACGGCCGCGGUACUCUGACCGUGCAAAGGUAGCAUAAUCAUUUGCCUUAUAAUUGAAGGCUGGAAUGAAUGGUUUGACAAGAAUACAACUGUCUCUUUUUGAUUCUAUAGAAUUUUAUUUUUAAGUGAAAAAGCUUAAGUUGUACUAAAAGACAAGAAGACCCUAUCGAGCUUUAAAAGAGUUAAUAGAGUUUAUAUACACAAAUAUUAAUAAAAAGAAAGCUAUUGAAUAUUUUGGUUGGGGCAACUAAGGAGUAGAUAAAGCCUCCUUUAAAUUAUAAUUCAAACCUGAAUUGAUCCAAUUAUUUUGAUCAGAGGAAUUAGUUACCGUAGGGAUAACAGCAUUAUCUUUUUUGAGAGCCCAUAUCGAAAAAAAGGUUUGUGACCUCGAUGUUGGACCAGAAUGUCCUAAAGAUGCAGAAGUCUUUAAAGGUUGGUCUGUUCGACCAUUAAAAUUCUACGUGAUCUGAGUUCAGACC
rnacentral:rRNA from 1 species